AAUAAAGUGGCUGAGGUUUAGGCGGUAGAUUGUAAAUCUAAGAACAAGUGUUAACUUCUUUAUUA
rnacentral:tRNA from 1 species